rnacentral:rRNA from 1 species
AGUGAACGUUGGCGGUAGGCCUAACACAUGCAAGUCGAACGGCAGCACAGUAAGAGCUUGCUCUUACGGGUGGCGAGUGGCGGACGGGUGAGGAAUACAUCGGAAUCUACUUUUUCGUGGGGGAUAACGUAGGGAAACUUACGCUAAUACCGCAUACGACCUACGGGUGAAAGCAGGGGAUCUUCGGACCUUGCGGGAUUGAAUGAGCCGAUGUCGGAUUAGCUAGUUGGCGGGGUAAAGGCCCACCAAGGCGACGAUCCGUAGCUGGUCUGAGAGGAUGAUCAGCCACACUGGAACUGAGACACGGUCCAGACUCCUACGGGAGGCAGCAGUGGGGAAUAUUGGACAAUGGGCGCAAGCCUGAUCCAGCCAUACCGCGUGGGUGAAGAAGGCCUUCGGGUUGUAAAGCCCUUUUGUUGGGAAAGAAAAGCAGCAGGUUAAUACCCCGCUGUUCUGACGGUACCCAAAGAAUAAGCACCGGCUAACUUCGUG